rnacentral:tRNA from 1 species
GAGGGUUUGGCUCAGUGGUAGAGCACAUGCCUAGCAUGCAUCAAGGUCCUGGGUUCAAUCCCCAGCGCCUCUG